ensembl:lncRNA
CAGGAAUUGCAGCUUUGGGAAGGGCAGGACCAGCCCCCUGAGCCCCCCCAAGGCAGGCGAGGCUGGGGAAGCUGCCUGGAAAUGCCCCAGGGAGUUCCUGCCAGGGAUGGGAACAGAACAUCCCGAGCCUCAGACUUGUGCUUCAACAUCAGAAGGAAAUGCUUCAUUUGUGAGCUUCACACCGAACUGGGAUUGCAAAGCUGCACGUGGAUAUUUGCUUUACCACAAAAACCACCACAAAAUCAAGGCAAUGCAUCCUGGAUGUCUGAGCUGCUUUCUGAAAGGUUCGAGAGAAAUGAGCUGUGUGAUUUCAUUGCUAGAAAAGUCUUUUGAUAGAGUUUGCUAAUCAGAGAUGGACUCGGG